rnacentral:rRNA from 1 species
GGCGCGAAACCUUCGCAAUGCGCGAAAGCGUGACGAGGUUACUUCGAGUGCUACCCGCUGAGGGUGGCUUUUCCCAAGUCUAAAAAGUUUGGGGAAUAAGGGGAGGGUAAGUCUGGUGUCAGCCGCCGCGGUAAUACCAGCUCCCCGAGUGGUCGGGACGUUUAUUGGGCCUAAAGCAUCCGUAGCCGGUCUUGUAGGUCUCCUGUUAAACCCAACGGCCCAACCGUUGGACUGCAGAAGAUACCGCAGGACUAGGAGGCGGGAGAGGCGGACGGUACUCAAUGGGUAGUGGUAAAAUAUUCUGAUCCAUUGAAGACCACCAGUGGCGAAGGCGGUCCGCCAGAACGCGCUCGACGGUGAGGGAUGAAAGCUGGGGGAGCGAACCGGAUUAGAUACCCCGGUAGUCC